rnacentral:rRNA from 1 species
AGUACCGUGAGGGAAAGGUGAAAAGAACCCCGGGAGGGGAGUGAAAUAGAACCUGAAACCCUGCACUUACAAGCUGUGGAAGCACAUUUCUUGUGUGACCGCGUACUUUUUGUAGAACGGGCCAACGAGUUACGUUAAGUAGCAAGGUUAAGCACUUAAGGUGUGGAGCCGUAGCGAAAGCGAGUUUUAACUGAGCGUUCAGUUACUUGACGUAGACCCGAAACCGGGCGACCUACCCAUGAGCAGGAUGAAGCGAAAGUAAAAUUUCGUGGAGGUCCGAACCCACGAGCGUUGAAAAGC